AUUCCAGCUCCAAUAGCGUAUAUUAAAGUUGUUGCAGUUAAAAAGCUCGUAGUUGGAUUUGUGGUGUACUUCGGCGGCCCGUCACUAUGUGAUGGAGCUUGCUGAAGUCGCCAUCCUUGGGUGGAUCCUGUGUGGCAUUAAGUUGUCGUGCAGGGGAUGCCCAUCGUUUACUGUGAAAAAAUUAGAGUGUUCAAAGCAGGCUUAUGCCGUUGAAUAUAUUAGCAUGGAAUAAUAAGAUAGGACCUUGGUACUAUUUUGUUGGUUUGCGCACCAAGGUAAUGAUUAAUAGGGACAGUUGGGGGUAUUCGUAUUUCAUUGUCAGAGGUGAAAUUCUUGGAUUUUUGAAAGACGAACUACUGCGAAAGCAUUUACCAAGGAUGUUUUCAUCG
rnacentral:rRNA from 1 species